UUGAAGUUGCCAGAACUUUGGGGGAGAGUGACCAUGUCAUAUUGGAAUUCAACAGAAUGCAAACAUAAACAAUAGAACAUAAUAAAACCAGUGUCUUAGACUUUAAAAGAGCUAAUUUUAACAAACUUAGAGAGAGCUUGGGAAAAAUUCCAUGGAUGAAAAUUUUAAAGGGGAAAUCAAUUCAAGAACAUAGGACACUGAA